rnacentral:pre_miRNA from 1 species
GUGUUACCUAGUGUUCCCUCGAACACUUCAUCGAAGAGAGAAGACACUUCACCGAUGUAUUAAAACUAUUUUUCUAUGAAGUGUUUGGGGGAACAAUACGUAGCAU